rnacentral:rRNA from 1 species
UACGGAGGGAGCAAGCGUUACUCGGAAUUAUUGGGCGUAAAGGGCGCGUAGGCGAUUUGAAAAGUCUUGUGUGAAAGCCCCGAGCUUAACUCGGGAAGUGCACAAGAAACUGUUGAAUUUGAGUUCCGGAGAGGAAGGCAGAAUUCCCGGUGUAGCGGUGAAAUGCGUAGAUAUCGGGAGGAAUACCAGUGGCGAAGGCGGCCUUCUGGACGGAUACUGACGCUGAGGCGCGAAAGCCAGGGGAGCAAACGGGG